rnacentral:snRNA from 10 species
GUACUUACCUGGAUAGGGUCGAUGGGCAAUCAAGAAGGUCCAUCGCCUAAGUUGGUGGCCUCCGCCUCCAUUGCACUUUGGAGGGGUGUCGUCAUAAUCUGUGACAGUAGUGGCCUGAGUUUAUACGGUCCCUAC